CCCCUUGGCGUCUGAAUCAUCGCCGAUGCUCCCCCCGCCGCCGCCUCCUGAGCCUGACUGACCGUCAAUCUGAGAGGAGACAUCUGACUGCAAGGACGAGGGAGGAAAGAACAUGCAAGCUAAGUAAAUGCAUUAUUUUGGCUGCCUCGUGCGAUGAAUGAAUGCGACUGAAAGUCAGAAGUGACAUUCCUAAUGAAGCGGCUGAGGAAAAUAUCGAUAAGUUGGUAACGACAUGUCUGAUUAACAGAAGAUGACUAAUAUCAGCUCCAGUACUGAUCCAGGUUAUUUAGUUUGCUUCCAAAACCUAAUCUAUCACGUUCUAAGCAGUUUAGGGCUACCGUGACGAGCUACAUGAAUGUUGUUAUCCAUCAACAAUCUUUUAAUUUUUCUGAUGAAGGUUUUGUGCUGAACCCUACAUUGGACCCUCUUUGAAAUAUUUGGAAAUUCACUUGAAGUAAUUGUACAUAAGACAUUUUCUCAAGUGUAGAGUGGACCCCCGCUAUUCAUGGGAGAUAAGCAUAUUUAUGACCCCAAAAAUAACAAUAGACUGUAGUUUUCUUGGAUUAUAUUUUCGCAUAACCUCAUUAUCAUUACUUUUUAUCAACUACCAUUACCUAAGACAAGAGCAUGCAAAAUCCUCUCGGACCCUCCACAUCCCGGUCACCAGCUCUUCCAGCUCCUUCCCUCAGAAUAUAGCCGCAGCAGCGUCUUAACAUGUCACGGGAUGCGGAGAAGAGGAGGGUGGCUGCCACUCACUUGGCCACUGAGGCUGUUGACAACGUUGACGACACUGUUCACUGCUCCGCCGGCUUCCACGGGGCCCUGCACCCCGCUCGCCGCAUACAGGCUGCCGCCGUAAUCCAGGGCAAGACCGUUCUGGGGAGGAGGCGGAGGAGGAGGAGGGAAGGCUGCGAAAGGCGGUGGUACCAGUCCCUCCUGACCGGAAGUACUAUCCUGGGAACCCUGUCGGAAGGAAGGGUGAAAAGCUCAGUUGGCGCCGUUCUACCUGGUCCGUCACCUGAGCGCACGCAUUGGAAUUGGGGUUGUAUUUGCAACCCCCCCCCCCCCCGCAUUUCUGUGCGUGGAAACGCGUGAGUGUCUAUACCCCGCACCAAUCAAAUAUUCACUGCACACAUCUAUUAUUGAGGGUCACAUGCCCCCAUGCUCAGUUUUGUACAAUCGCGUGUGCCAUUCCAGCACACGCACUCGCCAACGUCUCUAGAUACAAACCACCUUUGACACGCAAACACCCACACACCUCACGCAAAGCCGCCAACUGCUAGCAUGGAAUCCUGCCCGAGCGCCCGUGAGUGGACUGGAAUAUACACGUGGAAGAUACCGAGUGCGUAGGAGACACACAAAAAAAAACCCAAAAAACAAAAAAACAAGAGGGCACAAACUGCAGGCUACAAUGAAGACAAACUCCGAGCUGGUGGCUGCGGGAGGGUUACCCUAAAUGGUCACAGGAGACGGACAGACAGCGGGGGAGGAAGUACAGAAGGUGAUGACUGACUGAAGAAGUAUGCUCAGUGUCGGCCAUGCAUGACUUUUGGCUCUAUUUUUAACCAACCACCACCUAGUAAGACUUUGAAUCAGUCAGUGCGGCAGCUGAAUUUCUUCUGUGUGCGCACCACGACCUUGAUCAAGAAUAACACACGAACACUACGCAGCAAGGUUAAAUUAAAGCACGCGUGAGGUGGGAUCUUUUUUUUUUUUUUGAGAUACUACAUUAAUCAUUAAAAUGAUUAGGUUGAACACAGCUGUGUCAAUAUCACCUUUUUGCCAGCCCCAAAAGUUGAGAUUUUACAUUAAAUUUCAUAUUCACUAUUAAGUAGAUGUUUUGCUCUUAGAAAUACAUAUUGGUUUCUUUUUUAACAAAGCAACUGCAAGUAGACAACAUACAGUACAUUGUUCCCUCGCUAUAUCACGGUUCACCUAUUGUGGAUUUAAUGCAUUGAGGAUUUUUUUUUUUCAUAUUCAUAUCGUGCAUAAUUCACCAUAUUGCAAGAUUUUGAGUGUAUGCUGUAAUUUUGUGUGUGGUAAAAUAAACACAAAAACUAAAAAUUA